rnacentral:rRNA from 1 species
GAUGAACGCUGGCGGCGUGCCUAAUACAUGCAAGUCGAGCGAACAGACGAGGAGCUUACUCCUCUGACGUUAGCGGCGGACGGGUGAGUAACACGUGGAUAACCUACCUAUAAGACUGGGAUAACUUCGGGAAACCGGAGCUAAUACCGGAUAACAUGUUGAACCGCAUGGUUCAACAGUGAAAGACGGUCUUGCUGUCACUUAUAGAUGGAUCCGCGUCGCAUUAGCUAGUUGGUAAGGUAACGGCUUACCAAGGCAACGAUGCGUAGCCGACCUGAGAGGGUGAUCGGCCACACUGAAACUGAGACACGGUCCAGACUCCUACGGGAGGCAGCAGUAGGGAAUCUUCCGCAAUGGGCGAAAGCCUGACGGAGCAACGCCGCGUGAGUGAAGAAGGUCUUCGGAUCGUAAAACUCUGUUAUUAGGGAAGAACAAAUGUGUAAGUAACUAUGCACGUCUUGACGGUACCUAAUCAGAAAGCCACGGCUAACUACGUG